AUUGAACGCUGGCGGCAUGCCUUACACAUGCAAGUCGAACGGCAGCGGGCCCUUCGGGGUGCCGGCGAGUGGCGAACGGGUGAGUAAUGCAUCGGAACGUACCCGGGAGAGGGGGAUAACCGGCCGAAAGGCUGGCUAAUACCGCAUGAACUCGGAAGAGCAAACCGGGGGACCUUCGGGCCUCGCGCUCUCGGAGCGGCCGAUGUCCGAUUAGGCUAGUUGGUGGGGUAAUGGCCAACCAAGGCGACGAUCGGUAGCGGGUCUGAGAGGACGGUCGGCCACACUGGGACUGAGACACGGCCCAGACUCCUGCGGGAGGCAGCAGUGGGGAAUCUUGGACAAUGGGGGCAAGCCUGAUCCAGCAAUGCCGCGUGGGUGAAGAAGGCCUUCGGGUUGUAAAGCCCUUUCGGCGGGGAAGAAAUCGGUCAGGCGAAUAGUCUGGCCGGAUGACGGUACCCGCAGAAGAAGCACCGGCUAACUACGUG
rnacentral:rRNA from 1 species